CAUUUUCAUAUUUAUAUUGUAAGAGACUUUUUCAAAAGCAUACUGAUAUCUCAUUGGAUUUGUAAUCAUCUCUCAUAUUCUGCUACAAACUCUGGCAUCAGCUCUGUCAGGACAGGAGUCUCUGACAUGUUCCCUCACUGCCAUAUCACCAGCACCUAGAAGAGUGCCUAGCACACAAGAGCAUCAUCCAAUCCAUUGGGGGCCUGAAUGGAACAAAAAGGUGGAGGAAGAGUGAAUUCCCUCUCUCUUCUUGAGCUGGAGGUCCAGCAUCUCCUGCCCUUGAACAUCACAGCUCCUGAUUCUCAGGCCGUCAGAUUCCAGGACUCACACCAGCAGCCCCGUCGUUUUCAGGCCUUUGACUUUGGACUGGGAGUUCAGUUCCCCUGGUUCUCAGGCCUUUGGAUUCAAAGUGAACUGUAUCACUGGCUAUCCUGGUUCUUUAGCUUGCAGAUAGCAGAUUGUGGGACUUCUCAGCCUCCGUAACUGUGUGAGCCAAUUUCUAUAGUAAAGCUCCUCUUACAUAUAUCCAUAUAUAUCCUAUUGAUUUUGUUUCUCUCAAGAACCCUCACUAAUAAACAUGAUACUUGGUA